CCCUCGCCCAAUAAAUCGCUAUCGAAGCUCACAAACAGAGAUACUAGCCCUCGCAGGCUCCUAUCUCGAUCCUGCCUCUGGCAGGAUCACAUCUUCGCUUCGGGAGAAAGUCCCCGGACAGGCUUCCUGAUCUCUUUUGAGUGAUGGGGCGAGGCGGUAACGCGCCGCCAUAGAAGCACUGCGGCUGACCUCCGCGAGAAACCUGUUCCUUUUUGUCUGAUGUCUCUGGCCCCGACCUAUCGCUACAUCGAUGUGUCUGUCUCUGUUCUUUUGCCCUUUUUCUGGCCUCCGGAAACCCAGGGGCCGUCGUGCACUCUUAUGGACGAAGAUAUGAGUCCUGUGUUCUGACGUCUUCUGGGGCGUCCUUGGUCGGAGCCUUGGGUAGAGACGAGGGGAUACUUCGAUGGUAGGACGGACGUUUCAGGGCUUCUGGUGCUGGGGAACACAUGGGUUUCUUGCUUGGAGGAUUCGUUGUCGAGGUAGAAUAGGUAUGCGAUUGCUCGGACAUUGUUCGCAAUGCCGGGUUACUCGAUGGGGCUUAUUCUUGGUGCGAGG
rnacentral:RNase_MRP_RNA from 1 species